GCGCGCGUUACCAUGCAGUCGAACGGCAGCGCGGACUUCGGUCUGGCGGCGAGUGGCGAACGGGUGAGUAAUGCAUCGGAACGUACCUUUCAGUGGGGGAUAACGUAGCGAAAGUUACGCUAAUACCGCAUAUUCUGUGAGCAGGAAAGCAGGGGAUCGCAAGACCUUGCGCUGAUGGAGCGGCCGAUGUCAGAUUAGCUAGUUGGUGGGGUAACGGCUCACCAAGGCGACGAUCUGUAGCGGGUCUUAGAGGAUGAUCCGCCACACUGGAACUGAGACACGGUCCAGACUCCUACGGGAGGCAGCAGUGGGGAAUUUUGGACAAUGGGCGCAAGCCUGAUCCAGCCAUGCCGCGUGAGUGAAGAAGGCCUUCGGGUUGUAAAGCUCUUUCGGCCGGGAAAAAAUCGCUUGGGUUAAUACCCUGAGUGGAUGAUGGUACCGGAAUAAGAAGCACCGGCUAACUACGUGCCAGCAGCCGCGGUAAUACGUAGGGUGCGAGCGUUAAUCGGAAUUACUGGGCGUAAAGCGUGCGCAGGCGGUUUUGUAAUACAGG
rnacentral:rRNA from 1 species